rfam:Lupinus angustifolius cultivar Tanjil chromosome LG11, whole genome shotgun sequence.
AGCAAAAUGAUGAAUUCAUUUUGUGUCCGAAACUGAUGUGGAACUAUGUUUUAUACAUGCCUUCAAAGUUCUCUGAUUGCU